rnacentral:snoRNA from 1 species
CUUAUUUGACAAACUUGUACCAACAAAUGUCUGCUGCUAAGGUUUCCUCUACAAAUACAAGAGAAAAGUAUUCUCACCCCUUCCGUCUGUCUAAUUGUAGCAGUCAAGAUUGAAUGGAAGAAUACAGAA